AAAUGCCAUCGCAUUUUUCCUUUUGGUCGAAAAUUCGUGGGUGGCGAGUGAAAACGCUAAGUUGAUGUGAUUUGAUUGUGAAAGUUUUUCUCACGGCAUAAAGAAAACCAAUGAAAAUUUGUGAAAAUUAUCAGCAGAUCAACCGCAUCCUUGAGUGAGCAAUAAACAUAUAUACGGCAAAAACCUACCAAUGUACACAUCUACGAUUAGUGCCAACUAAACCAAGGAGCAACAAGAAACCUAGAGAGCCAAAUAAACUAAUAAAAAA